UACAGAGGUGGCAAGCGUUGUUCGGAAUUACUGGGCGUAAAGGGCUCGUAGGCGGCCAACUAAGUCAAACGUGAAAUCCCUCGGCUUAACCGGGGAACUGCGCUUGAUACUGGAUGGCUUGAGAUUGGGAGAGGGAUGCGGAAUUCCAGGUGUAGCGGUGAAAUGCGUAGAUAUCUGGAGGAACACCGGUGGCGAAGGCGGCAUCCUGGACCAACACUGACGCUGAGGAGCGAAAGCCAGGGGAGCAAACGGG
rnacentral:rRNA from 1 species